rnacentral:tRNA from 1 species
GGGCUUGUGGUCUAGCAGCUAUGACGUCCGCCUGACUCGCGGGAGACCCCCGGUGCAAGUGCUACACUUCAUCUAAAAGGUGAAGUUUUCCUGCAUAUCCGGGCAGGCCCA